AGGACGAACGCUGGCGGCGUGCUUAACACAUGCAAGUCGAGCGGAAAGGCCCUUCGGGGUACUCGAGCGGCGAACGGGUGAGUAACACGUGAGUAAUCUGCCCCUAGCUCUGGGAUAGCUCCGGGAAACCGGGAUUAAUACUGGAUACGACCACCUUAGACAUCUUUUGUGGUGGAAAGAAUUUCGGCUAGGGAUGAGCUCGCGGCCUAUCAGCUUGUUGGUGGGUAACGGCCUACCAAGGCGACGACGGGUA
rnacentral:rRNA from 1 species